UUCGCCCUUUUCCGGUUGAUCCUGCCGGAAGCUACUGCUAUCGGGAUUCGAUUAAGCCAUGCGAGUCGAGAGGGUUCGGCCCUCGGCUGACUGCUCAGUAACACGUGGAUAACUUGCCCUCAGGUAGGGGAUAAUCUCGGGAAACUGAGGAUAAUACCCUAUAGGCAUCCUUUGCUGGAAUGCUUGGAUGUUCAAAGGUAACGCCUGAGGAUAGGUCUGCGGCCUAUCAGGUUGUAGUGGGUGUAAUGGACCCACUAGCCCGCGACGGGUACGGGCCUUGAAAGAGGUAGCCCGGAGAUGGACUCUGAGACACGAGUCCAGGCCCUACGGGGCGCAGCAGGCGCGAAAACUUCGCAAUGCGGGAAACCGUGACGAGGGAAUCCCGAGUGCUCAUACAAUGUAUGGGCUUUUCUUAUGUGUAAAUAGCAUGAGGAAUAAGGGCUGGGUAAGACCGGUGCCAGCCGCCGCGGUAAUACCGGCAGCUCUAGUGGUAGCCACUUUUAUUGGGCCUAAAGCGUCCGUAGCCGGUCAGGUAAAUCCUUGGGUAAAUCGUACAGCUUAACUGUGCGGCUUCCGGGGAGACUGCCUGACUUGGGACCGGGAGAGGUUGGAGGUACUCCUGGGGUAGGGGUGAAAUCCUGUAAUCCUAGGUGGACCACCGGUGGCGAAGGCGUCCAACCAGAACGGCUCCGACGGUGAGGGACGAAGGCUAGGGGCGCAAACCGGAUUAGAUACCCGGGUAGUCCUAGCUGUAAACGCUGCAGACUUGGUGUUGGAGAU
rnacentral:rRNA from 1 species